rnacentral:rRNA from 1 species
AGAUUGAACGCUAGCGGGAUGCUUUACACAUGCAAGUCGAACGGCAGCGCGGACUUCGGUCUGGCGGCGAGUGGCGAACGGGUGAGUAAUAUAUCGGAACGUGCCCAGUAGCGGGGGGAUAACUACGCGAAAGCGUGGCUAAUACCGCAUACGCCCUACGGGGGAAAGGGGGGGAUCGCAAGACCUCUCACUAUUGGAGCGGCCGAUAUCAGAUUAGCUAGUUGGUGAGGUAAAGGCUCACCAAGGCGACGAUCUGUAGCUGGUUUGAGAGGACGACCAGCCACACUGGGACUGAGACACGGCCCAGACUCCUACGGGAGCAGCAGUGGGAAUUUGGACAAGUGGGGGAAACCUGAUCCAGCCAUCCCGCGUGUGCGAUGAAGGCCUUCGAGGUUGUAAAGCUACGUUUUGGACGAGGGAAGAAACGGCGUUAGACUAAUA